rnacentral:rRNA from 1 species
UACAGAGGCCUCGAGCGUUAGGCGGAAUCACUGGGCUUAAAGCGUGUGUAGGUGGAUGCCUAAGUACCUUGUGAAAUCCCUCGGCUCAACCAAGGAAGUGCAUCCGAAACUGCUGAGCUUGAGUACUUAAGAGGAUCGCGGAAUUCCCGGUGUAGAGGUGAAAUUCGUAGAUAUCGGGAGGAACACCAGUGGCGAAGGCGGCGAUCUGGGAAGAUACUGACGCUGAGGUGCGAAAGCGUGGGGAGCAAACAGG